GUCAAAAUUAGGAGAGUAGAAACUUACUUUGUUUAAUUGACCACUGACUACACUUACUGGCCAUGAAAAUGCCCUUAGCUUUUAGUUGGCUUGUAUAGCAAGAAGACCUACAGAUGUUCAAUGGGUUCCCUCAAUUCAGAAGAUGAAGAGAUAUCUCAAAAUCCUGGAAACCUGGAUCUUCGCUAUAAAAUGCUAGUCUAAGGCACCUGGAGGGCUCACUUGGUUUCAAGACAAUCUCCUGCCAUCUCUACUUACUCCCGAGUAAGAGGGUUCUAAUGAAGUCACCAUGGGUGAUGAAGCUGAGCCCAGAGGUCCUCUCCUGCAGGGACUGUUUCUGCUGCCUGGUUGUUAGCUGUAUGACUACUGUCUUUGUCCUUUCUGCAGGGAAAGGCGCUCAAAGAAAGGAGAAAGGAUUCAGAAAAGAAAUGUGGCUGCAUUUAUCCUGGGACUUUGAGGUAAAAAGACCAGCACUUACAUGCAAAAAACAAAACCAGCAAAAAUCGUUGUAACCAGCAAAGAAGAAUCCCUCAUCAUCACCUCCUUAUUCUCCUGCUGCUGCCAGACAUCAACUCUGGACUCCUCCUUUGGAAUUGCCCUUGGAGCUUAUUUAUAAACCAAAAAAGUGGUCUCAUUAAUCACAUCUUUCUAUUUGACCUAAAAUUAUAUCACCUAACAUUGUCAACCGCCUUCUUUAGUUCAAUCUGCUUCAUAGAGCUUUCUGUACAGGAUGACAUCAGGAUGAUAUUCAAAGUAUUUGACAAUGCAGGCCAUUCAGAAUAGAUGCUGAUUAUGACCAACAGUUUUACCUGCAGUGGUAUAUAACCUCUGAAUAUCAAUUCUGCUCUUUUGUUCCUCAAUAGUUGUUGAAAUAAAAACACCCUAUUUAUGGCAAACUUUGA